GCGGGAGGCCUGGGCCUCAGUGGGUGAAGGGACCGGGUGGCCCGCUCCCACCUUGGGCAGAGGCUCGACCGACCGCGGCGAGGCUGGGCCCGGCAUUACUGGGAGGCGAACUUGAGAGCUGCGGGUUAAUGUGCGGAGCUCAGGCAACGCCAGAUCCGACUGACCCACCCACCCUUCCUCGAAGAGGAACAGUGACUUGGGUUUGGUUUUUAAUUUUUGAUUCCCCCACCUCCCCUUUCUUAAUUCCAAAGGAAAUAAAGCAUUCAAGCUCCAUGUCUGUUGGGAAUAUAUAAUUCCUUGAUAAAGAAAGAGGAAACAUUUCUCUGAUAAACACAAGAAUCUCAUGUUGGCGCAUCCUGUUGGUGUUCGGAGAAGUUGUGGCUCAGCUUGCUUUGUCUGCAUUAGUGGAAUCUUUUAAGUCUUUCUGGUCUGUCUCAGCAUACUCACUGGCAGGCCCUAGACUACAUUACCCAAGUCAUUUUGCCGUCUUGGAAUCCUGAGUAUGUCAUCAUUCUGUAUCGGAGAUGAGAUUGCUCGGAAACGCUGGAUUCAGAAUGGUAUCUAGCAAGAUGGUAUUUCUGGAGCACUAAGUCAUUUCCUGAAUCAUUAUGCAAAGCAUAAAUUGCAUUGUAGUCCUAGAAUAAUACAAAGCUUCCCUUUAGUUGUUACCGUAAAUUAAUAACUGGCAUUUUAAUGCACUACAAAUAGGAUUUUAGUAGUUAGAUUUAUACCUUUGACUUCUAGGAAUUUCAACUACAUUAGAGUCCAUAUACACAAAAGGGGCAAGCUCUUUUUUCCACAGCGUUUCCAGCUUCUCCACAGAAACCUAGCCCCACACGAGCAAAAGAUCACACUCUGUGCUUCAUCAAAGAGAUUACACAAUUACAGAUUCCAGCAUCUCUCAGGAGUCCUUUGAAUUUGGAUUAAGGUCUAUAAUUACGUGGGUAAGGGAAUAACUAGGUAAUUGGCUUUCUGCACCUGGAAUGUAUUCUCCUGGGUAUAAGAGGCUCAUUUUAAUCAGAAGUAUAUGGGAUGAAAGUGAACCCUGUCUCUUAAGGGGAGACUCCUUAAGAGGAGGAUUGGAGCCCUAUGUUUUAAUAGAUCUUCUCCACAAUCUUUAAUACCUAAGCUGCUUCCCCUUGUCCACUAAUUUGCUGUAGAAUUUUUCUAGCACGUUUAUGAUGGUGUUCAGGGCACACUACCCCAAAAUAUAAUACCUUAGCAUACUGAAUAUUUUAAGCUGAUGACAUUUGAGAAAUGGCAGGUGUGAGGACUCUGACAUUCCCGUGAAGCAGGUCUAAGACCCUCAUGUGAGAGAUGCCCUCCCUAUACCUGGAGAAAAUAAGCAAUCUUUUCUGUGAAGACAGAGCCAAGAGGAAUCUAAAUGAGUAGGCCUUGGUAGGUUUCCCCCAGUUUACUGCCAUUAGCUCACCUUUUUGUCUUACCACAUUUUCCCAUAAGAGUCUACUUUUCAUCAAACCUAGUAUAAAACGCUCAGGUUUCUUCAGGUCUUCAUUUCCUUAUGAAGGCUCCAAUGCCAUGUAAAACUUACGUUAAGUAUUAUACAUUCAUUUGCCUUUCUUUUGUUACAGACACCCCACAUGGACCUUGAGCUGUCGCUGCCAUGGCACCCCUUCUAGAAGGUAGAUAUUUUUCCUCCCAACAAACCCUACAACCUUUAUGAAAAUAUUUCACUCUUUUGCUUUAAUUUCCAUUACUGCUAUAAGUGAAAAAAGGAUGAAGGAUUGAACGAACAGGAUUGAACCAUCUACUAGGCACUGUGCUUGUAACUUUAGAAGUGGGAGCCUUGGACAACUGAACACCUAUCAAGAAAUGUCAGCUCUUUUUUUUUUUUUUUUUUUGGGACUGUCACCCAGUCUGGAGUGC